rnacentral:tRNA from 1 species
UGCCCGGUCGUCUAAUGGUAGGACAACAGACUCUGAAUCUGUUUAUCGGGGUUCAAAUCCCUGCUGGGCAGCCA